rnacentral:rRNA from 1 species
GAGUUUGAUCAUGGCUCAGAUUGAACGCUGGCGGCAGGCCUAACACAUGCAAGUCGAACGGUAACAGCAGAGCUUGCUCUGGCUGACGAGUGGCGGACUGGUGAGUAACGCGUAGGAAUCUACCCAGUAGUGGGGGACAACUUGGGGAAACUCAAGCUAAUACCGCAUACGCCCUACGGGGGAAAGCGGGGGACCUUCGGGCCUCGUGCUAUUGGAUGAGCCUGCGUUAGAUUCUACCUAGUUGGUAGGGUAAAGGCCUACCAUGGCGACGAUCUUUAGCUGGUUUGAGAGGAUGAUCAGCCACACUGUGACUGAGACACGGCCCAGACUCCUACGGGAGGCAGCAGUGGGGAAUAUUGCACAAUGGGCGCAAGCCUGAUGCAGCCAUGCCGCGUGUGUGAAGAAGGCUCUAGGGUUGUAAAGCACUUUAAGCAGGGAGGAAGGCCUAAUGGUUAAUAACCAUUAGGAUUGAUGUUACCUACAGAAGAAGCACCGGCUAACUCCGUGCCAGCAGCCGCGGUAAUACGGAGGGUGCAAGCGUUAAUCGGAAUUACUGGGCGUAAAGCGCGCGUAGGCGGUUAAUUAAGUCAGAUGUGAAAGCCCCGGGCUCAACCUGGGAACUGCAUUUGAAACUGGUUAACUAGAGUGUGGUAGAGGAGAGUGGAAUUUCAGGUGUAGCGGUGAAAUGCGUAGAGAUCUGAAGGAACACCAGUGGCGAAGGCGGCUCUCUGGACCGAUACUGACACUGAGGUGCGAAAGCGUGGGUAGCAAACAGGAUUAGAUACCCUGGUAGUCCAUGCCGUAAACGAUGUCAACUAGCCGUUGGAAGACUUGAUCUUUUAGUGGCGCAGCUAACGCAAUAAGUUGACCGCCUGGGGAGUACGGUCGCAAGAUUAAAACUCAAAUGAAUUGACGGGGGCCCGCACAAGCGGUGGAGCAUGUGGUUUAAUUCGAUGCAACGCGAAGAACCUUACCUGGUCUUGACAUCCUACGAACUUACUAGAGAUAGUUUGGUGCCUUCGGGAACGUAGUGACAGGUGCUGCAUGGCUGUCGUCAGCUCGUGUUGUGAAAUGUUGGGUUAAGUCCCGUAACGAGCGCAACCCCUAUCCUUAUUUGCCAGCACGUCAUGGUGGGAACUCUAAGGAGACUGCCGGUGAUAAACCGGAGGAAGGUGGGGACGACGUCAAGUCAUCAUGGCCCUUACGGAUUGGGCUACACACGUGCUACAAUGGGCAGUACAGAGGGUCGCGAUCCUGUGAAGGUUAGCUAAUCUCAGAAAGCUGUUCGUAGUCCGGAUUGGAGUCUGCAACUCGACUCCAUGAAGUUGGAAUCGCUAGUAAUCGCGGAUCAGAAUGCCGCGGUGAAUACGUUCCCGGGCCUUGUACACACCGCCCGUCACACCAUGGAAGUGGGUUGCACCAGAAGUAGCUAGACUAACCUUCGGGAGGUCGGUUACCACGGUGUGAUUCAUGACUGGGGUGAAGUCGUAACAAGGUAACC